rnacentral:ncRNA from 1 species
AAGUUCUAGAGAAGGUUAGCGCUUCCCUUGACAAGGAUGGAAGAGACCCUGGGGUCUCACAGCAUGUAAACAGUGAAGGCAUUGCCUCCUGCUUUACGGCAUCUGACCACAUUUUUGA